AUUGAACGCUGGCGGCAGGCCUAACACAUGCAAGUCGAACGAGUGGCGGACGGGUGAGUAAUGUCUGGGAAACUGCCCGAUGGAGGGGGAUAACUACUGGAAACGGUAGCUAAUACCGCAUACCAUCAGAUGUGCCCAGAUGGGAUUAGCUAGUAGGUGGGUUAACGGCUCACCAAGGCGACGAUCCCUAGCUGGUCUGAGAGGAUGACCAGCCACACUGGAACUGAGACAAGGUCCAGACUCUUACGGGAGGCAGCAGUGGGGAAUAUUGCACAAUGGACGCAAGCCUGAUGCAGCCAUGCCGCGUGUAUGAAGAAGGCCUUCGGGUUGUAAAGUACUUGCAGCGGGGAGGCGUUACCCGCAGAAGAAGCACCGGCUAACUCCGUGCCAGCAGCCGCGGUAAGAC
rnacentral:rRNA from 1 species